GACGAACGCUGGCGGCGUGCUUAACACAUGCAAGUCGAACGGUGACCCACCUGCGGGUGGCGAUCAGUGGCGAACGGGUGAGUAACACGUGGGCAACCUGCCCCUGACUCUGGGAUAACUCCUCGAAAGAGGUGCUAAUACCGGAUACCACCUCCCUUGGCAUCGGGGGAGGUUGAAAGUUCUUCGGUCAGGGAUGGGCCCGCGGCCUAUCAGCUAGUUGGUGAGGUAACGGCCCACCAAGGCGACGACGGGUAGCCGGCCUGAGAGGGCGACCGGCCACACUGGGACGGAGACACGGCCCAGACUCCACGGGAGGCAGCAGUGGGGAAUAUUGCGCAAUGGGCGAAAGCCUGACGCAGCAACGCCGCGUGAGGGAUGACGGCCUUCGGGUUGUAAACCUCUUUCAGCAGGGACGAAGCGAAAGUGACUGUACCUGCAGAAGAAGCGCCGGCUAACUACGUGCCAGCAGCCGCCGUAACAC
rnacentral:rRNA from 1 species